rnacentral:rRNA from 1 species
UACAGAGGUCCCAAGCGUUGUUCGGAUUCACUGGGCGUAAAGGGUGCGCAGGUGGGUUGGCAAGUUCGAUGUGAAAGCCCCGGGCUUAACCCGGGAAUGGCAUUGAAAACUGUCGAUCUGGAGGAUUGGAGGGGGGACUGGAAUUCUUGGUGUAGCAGUGAAAUGCGUAGAUAUCAAGAGGAACACCAGUGGCGAAGGCGAGUCCCUGGACAAUACCUGACACUGAGGCACGAAAGCCAAGGGAGCAAACAGG